AUUGAACGCUGGCGGCAUGCUUUACACAUGCAAGUCGAACGGUAACAGGCCGCAAGGUGCUGACGAGUGGCGAACGGAUGAGUAAUGCAUCGGAACGUGCCCAGUCGUGGGGGAUAACGCAGCGAAAGCUGCGCAAAUACCGCAUACGACCUAUGGAUGAAAGCGGGGGACCGAAAGGCCUCGCGCGAUUGGAGCGGCCGGUGUCCGAUUAGGUAGUUGGUGGGGUAAAGGCUCACCAAGCCAACGAUCUGUAGCUGGUCUGAGAGGACGACCAGCCACACUGGGACUGAGACACGGCCCAGACUCCUACGGGAGGCAGCAGUGGGGAAUUUUGGACAAUGGGCGCAAGCCUGAUCCAGCAAUGCCGCGUGCAGGAAGAAGGCCUUCGGGUUGUAAACUGCUUUUGUACGGAACGAAAAGGCUCUGGUUAAUACCUGGGGCUCAUGACGGUACCGUAAGAAUAAGCACCGGCUAACUACGUGCCAGCAGCCGCAGUAACAC
rnacentral:rRNA from 1 species